rnacentral:rRNA from 1 species
UACGGAGGGGGCUAGCGUUGUUCGGAAUUACUGGGCGUAAAGCGCGCGUAGGCGGACCUGCAAGUCGGGGGUGAAAGCCCGAGGCUCAACCUCGGAACUGCCUUCGAUACUGCGGGUCUCGAGUCCGGGAGAGGUGAGUGGAAUUCCUAGUGUAGAGGUGAAAUUCGUAGAUAUUAGGAAGAACCCCAGUGGCGAAGGCGGCUCCCUGGCCCGGUACUGACGCUGAGGCGCGAAAGCGUGGGGAGCAAACAGG